UACGUAGGGGGCAAGCGUUGUCCGGAAUCAUUGGGCGUAAAGCGCGUGUAGGCGGCUAGGUAAGUCUGCUCUGAAAGCCCGGGGCUCAACCCCGGGAGGCGGGUGGAUACUGUCUAGCUCGAGUCCGGAAGAGGCGAGUGGAAUUCCCGGUGUAGCGGUGAAAUGCGCAGAUAUCGGGAGGAACACCAAUGGCGAAGGCAGCUCGCUGGGACGUGACUGACGGCUGAGACGCGAAAGCGUGGGGAAGCCAAACAGGGAGUUAAGCA
rnacentral:rRNA from 1 species